UACGAAGGGGCUAGCGUUGCUCGGAAUCACUGGGCGUAAAGCGCACGUAGGCGGCUUUCUAAGUCAGGGGUGAAAUCCUGGAGCUCAACUCCAGAACUGCCUUUGAUACUGGAAAGCUUGAGUUCGGGAGAGGUGAGUGGAACUGCGAGUGUAGAGGUGAAAUUCGUAGAUAUUCGCAAGAACACCAGUGGCGAAGGCGGCUCACUGGCCCGGUACUGACGCUGAGGCACGAAAGCGUGGGGAGCAAACAGG
rnacentral:rRNA from 1 species